AAGAUGCAUAAUAAUAAA
rnacentral:sRNA from 1 species